CUUUGUGCCAAAGUUCUCGAUGAGUCUAAAGCCUCUCGAGGGCCUUGGCUUAAAAGGGAAUACGAGUGAGAGUCUCGAGCAGUCCCGCUGCUGUAUUUGGUCUACAGGUAGGUUCGCUCAAUUAGCCACUGGAGGUUCUGUGUCUCUGGGAAGGGAGCGCACCGACGGCCAUAAGCCAGAAGACCUGCAAAG
rnacentral:ncRNA from 2 species